rnacentral:rRNA from 1 species
GCGAACAAGUACAGUGAUGGAAAGAUGAAAAGAACUUUGAAAAGAGAGUGAAAAAGUACGUGAAAUUGUUGAAAGGGAAGGGCAUUUGAUCAGACAUGGUGUUUUGUGCCCUCUGCUCCUUGUGGGUAGGGGAAUCUCGCAUUUCACUGGGCCAGCAUCAGUUUUGGUGGCAGGAUAAAUGCAUAGGAAUGUAGCUUGCCUCGGUAAGUAUUAUAGCCUGUGGGAAUACUGCCAGCUGGGACUGAGGACUG